GACGAACGCUGGCGGCGUGCCUAAUACAUGCAAGUCGAGCGAGACUCUUCGGAGUCUAGCGGCGGACGGGUGAGUAACACGUGGGCAACCUGCCUGUAAGACUGGGAUAACACCGGGAAACCGGUGCUAAUACCGGAUAAUCCUUUUCCUCUCAUGAGGAAAAGCUGAAAGUCGGUUUCGGCUGACACUUACAGAUGGGCCCGCGGCGCAUUAGCUAGUUGGUGAGGUAACGGCUCACCAAGGCGACGAUGCGUAGCCGACCUGAGAGGGUGAUCGGCCACGCUGGGACUGAGACACGGCCCAGACUCCUACGGGAGGCAGCAGUAGGGAAUCUUCCACAAUGGACGAAAGUCUGAUGGAGCAACGCCGCGUGAGCGAUGAAGGCCUUCGGGUCGUAAAGCUCUGUUGUUAGGGAAGAACAAGUAUCGGAGUAACUGCCGGUACCUUGACGGUACCUAACCAGAAAGCCACGGCUAACUACGUGCCAGCCGCCGCCGUAAAAC
rnacentral:rRNA from 1 species